GACGAACGCUGGCGGCGUGCCUAAUACAUGCAAGUCGAGCGGACUGAUUAAGAGCUUGCUCUUAUGACGUUAGCGGCGGACGGGUGAGUAACACGUGGGCAACCUGCCCUGUAGAUCGGGAUAACACCGAGAAAUCGGUGCUAAUACCGGGUAAUAUCUGAGAUCACAUGAUCUUAGGUUAAAAGAUGGCUCCGGCUAUCACUACAAGAUGGGCCCGCGGCGCAUUAGCUAGUUGGUAAGGUAAUGGCUUACCAAGGCGACGAUGCGUAGCCGACCUGAGAGGGUGAUCGGCCACACUGGGACUGAGACACGGCCCAGACUCCUACGGGAGGCAGCAGUAGGGAAUCUUCCGCAAUGGACGAAAGUCUGACGGAGCAACGCCGCGUGAGUGAUGAAGGGUUUCGGCUCGUAAAGCUCUGUUGUUAGGGAAGAAACAGUACCGAACGAACUAGGUCGGUACCUUGACGGUACCUAACCAGAAAGCCACGGCUAACUACGU
rnacentral:rRNA from 1 species